rnacentral:lncRNA from 1 species
AAAAAAAUGACACAUACAUUAACAACUAUAGGUCACUGUACGUCCUUCAACAAUGAGCAAAGCCCAUACCGCAUAGUCAGCUUUAAAAGGCCCCGAUAUGACAAUGUAAAACAAUUCAAAAGAGAAAACGAACGGUCUCAUUUAUGAUCCCGAUAACAAAAAGACACUAGGAACAGAUCUGAGAGUACUCGCAGUUAUCUGACAGCUAGUUCAAAGCCACUAACAACUAAUAAAAAAAAUCAUGCA